CAGGACCAGCUGCUACCCCGACAAAGAUAAAAGGCUGUCGGACGCUGCCCCAGGUUGCAGAAGCAACAUUGCUGUAUGCUAGAUCCUGCCUGAGAUCCUGUACCUGUCCUUGCCUGGUUUCCUGCCUCAGCCCUGUCGGACUCACUCCUAGAGGAACCUUUGGAUUCUGAACCGGUCCUGGACUGUGCUUCACGGGUUACCCCUGGGCCCAUCACAGUUGCUUCCAUAGUAGUAUUAGUCCCUAAGGUUUCUUAGGAGAGGUCUCUCUGUAACUGUCUGAGGCCUAUUACGAGGUUAUGAAAAAUAAAAAUAUCCCAUGUAGCUCUUUGUUUCCCUGGAGGCUCUGCAUACCUCCUGCCAGAGGAGGAUGGCCC